rnacentral:rRNA from 1 species
UAGUGAGUACUAUAGAAAAACAGUAGAUUUAGAGGGUUUUGUCGUACCUUUUGUAUCAUGAUUUUUUGAUAGAGGUUGUAUUAUUUAUAUGUCUCGAAAGGCUUACGAUUUUAUUUAGUUUAAUCUUUUAGCUAUAUGUUCGGUUAACGGGGUUACAGAAUAUUAGGUGAAUAUCCUGAGAAAUUAAAUAAUGAGUGAUAAAUAAUUCUGAACUUUUAAUAUCUGGUUAGUAACUUGAAUUUCCGAAAUAUGUGGAUUAUUGGAUGUGCUGAUUAUCUAGGACAGAGAUUAAUAUAGUAGUGUGAUUAAUAAUUGACUGAGAUUAAAAUUGUCUUUGGUUUAGUAAGUUAUUUACCUAGCUUGAGAUGUGUAGUGUAUUCUUGUAUGGAUGGUGAGUCAUUUUGUGAAUUGGUUGAAUAAAAAUGAAAGAAUAAGUAGGUUUAUAGGUAUAAUAAAAGUUGUUUUUUUUUUCGGUGGUUGCUUUCAACUGUUUAUUAAAAACAUUUCUAUUUGGGAGAGAUAAAUAGUAUGACCUGCCCAAUGAGCUUUUAAAUGAAUGGCCGCGGCUUUAGUCGUGCUAAGGUAGCAUAAUAUAUAGUUUUUUAAUUGGAGACUUGUGAAUGGUUUAAUGAAAGGUGUCUAAAAUGAUAACUAUUUCUGAAUUUAGUACGGUGGUCAGGAAUCCAUUGUUGAGAUAUAGGACGGAAAGACCCCAAGAGCUUUACAAAGUUUUGUUUUAUUUGGGGUAAAUGUAGAUAAUUCAUUUAUUUUUAGAACCUAAUGGAAUAUAGGAUAAAGUUACCUUGGGGAUAACUGAGUAAAGGGCGGAAAGAGGUCUUAUUGAUCCGUUUGUUACUACCUCGAUGUUGGCUUUGAGUACCUGUUCGGUGUAGAGGCUGAAUAAGGAGGUCUGUUCGACUUUUAAUUUUUAAUGAGCUGAGUUAAAACCGGCGUAAGCCAGGUUGGUUCUUAUCUAUAAGUGGUUCUAGUUAGUACGAAAGGAGGGUUAGGGCAUAAUGUUUAUAAUAGGUUUGGAAUAAUUAAGGAUUAG